rnacentral:rRNA from 1 species
GUGCUUACACAUGCAAGUCGAACGAUGAAAGCGGGAGCUUGCUCCUGCUGGAUUAGUGGCGAACGGGUGAGUAACACGUGAGCAAUCUGCCCUUGACUCUGGGAUAACGCCGAGAAAUUGGUGCUAAUACCGGAUAUGACCCCUGGCGGCAUCGCUGGGGGUGGAAAGUUUUUCGGUCAAGGAUGAGCUCGCGGCCUAUCAGCUAGUUGGUGAGGUAAUGGCUCACCAAGGCGACGACGGGUAGCCGGCCUGAGAGGGUGACCGGCCACACUGGGACUGAGACACGGCCCAGACUCCUACGGGAGGCAGCAGUGGGGAAUAUUGCACAAUGGGCGCAAGCCUGAUGCAGCAACGCCGCGUGGGGGAUGACGGCCUUCGGGUUGUAAACCUCUUUUAGCAGGGAAGAAGCGAAAGUGACGGUACCUGCAGAAAAAGCGCCGGCUAACUACGUGCCAGCAGCCGCGGUAAUACGUAGGGCGCAAGCGUUGUCCGGAAUUAUUGGGCGUAAAGCGUCUGCAGGUUGAUAUUUAAGUCUUUUGUUAAACUUUCGGGCUUAACCUGAAUUCUGCAAAAGAAACUAUUUAUCUUGAGUAUGGUAGAGGUAAAGGGAAUUUCCAGUGGAGCGGUGAAAUGCGUAGAGAUUGGAAAGAACACCAACAGCGAAGGCACUUUACUGGGCUAGUACUGACACUGAGAGACGAAAGCUAGGGGAGCAAACGGGAUUAGAUACCCCGGUAGUCCUAGCUGUAAACGAUGGAUACUAGAUGUUGUGCAUUUUUGGAUGUGCAGUGUCGUAGCUAACGCGUUAAGUAUCCCGCCUGGGAAGUAUGCUCGCAAGAGUGAAACUCAAAUGAAUUGACGG